GGCUCAGAUUGAACACUGGCGGCAUGCCUUACACAUGCAAGUCGAACGGUAACAGGGAGCUUGCUCCGCUGACGAGUGGCGAACGGGUGAGUAAUAUAUCGGAACGUGCCCUAGAGUGGGGAUAACUAGUCGAAAGAUUAGCUAAUACCGCAUACGAUCUAAGGAUGAAAGUGGGGGAUCGCAAGACCUCAUGCUCGUGGAGCGGCCGAUAUCUGAUUAGCUAGUUGGUAGGGUAAAAGCCUACCAAGGCAUCGAUCAGUAGCUGGUCUGAGAGGACGACCAGCCACACUGGGACUGAGACACGGCCCAGACUCCUACGGGAGGCAGCAGUGGGGAAUUUUGGACAAUGGGCGCAAGCCUGAUCCAGCAAUGCCGCGUGAGUGAAGAAGGCCUUCGGGUUGUAAAGCUCUUUUGUCAGGGAAGAAACGGGUUGAGCUAAUAUCUUGGCCUAAUGACGGUACCUGAAGAAUAAGCACCGGCUAACUACGUG
rnacentral:rRNA from 1 species